rnacentral:RNase_P_RNA from 23 species
UGAGCUGGCCGGGCGGCCGCGGCACCCAGAUUCCUGGGGGUCGAGGAAAGUCCGGACUUCACAGAGCAGGGUGAUUGCUAACGGCAAUCCGAGGUGACUCGCGGGAAAGUGCCACAGAAAACAGACCGCCUGCGUCGAGUCUUCGGACGAGGCGCAGGUAAGGGUGAAAAGGUGCGGUAAGAGCGCACCAGCACUCCGGGUGACCGGGGUGGCUUGGUAAACCCCACCCGAAGCAAGGCCAAGAAGGCCGCAACCUGGUUGCGGUCGCGCAGGCGUUCGAGGGCUGCUCGCCCGAGCCUGCGGGUAGGCCGCUCGAGGUACCCGGCGACGGUGUGCCCAGAUGGAUGGUCGCCGCCUCCUCGUCAGAGAUGGCGUCGAGGAACAGAAUCCGGCUUACAGGCCGGCUCAUCCG